UCCCCAGGGGUCCAGUGGUUAGGACUCAGAACUUUCGCUGCUGAGGGCCUGGGUUCAAUCCCUGGUUGGGGAA
rnacentral:tRNA from 1 species